rnacentral:rRNA from 1 species
ACUCCUACGGGAGGCAGCAGUGGGGAAUAUUGGACAAUGGGCGAAAGCCUGAUCCAGCCAUGCCGCAUGAGUGAAGAAGGCCUUUGGGUUGUAAAGCUCUUUUAGUGAGGAAGAUAAUGACGGUACUCACAGAAGAAGUCCUGGCUAACUCCGUGCCAGCAGCCGCGGUAAUACGGAGAGGGCUAGCGUUAUUCGGAAUUAUUGGGCGUAAAGGGCGCGUAGGCUGGUUAAUAAGUUAAAAGUGAAAUCCCGAGGCUUAACCUUGGAAUUGCUUUUAAAACUAUUAAUCUAGAGAUUGAAAGAGGAUAGAGGAAUUCCUGAUGUAGAGGUAAAAUUCGUAAAUAUUAGGAGGAACACCAGUGGCGAAGGCGUCUAUCUGGUUCAAAUCUGACGCUGAAGCGCGAAGGCGUGGGGAGCAAACAGGAUUAGAUACCCCGGUAGUCC